CACAGUGCCCUCGAGCGAGAACCUCUCUCACGCACAACUCGAUCCCUAGCUCGUCUCCCCUUCUCCGCCACCGCCGCCCGCCCGCCCGCAUCCCACCCCUUUCCUUCGUGUCCUGCCCACCUCCUCCCCUACCACUGCUCCUCCGCUCCGGCCCGGACCAUCCUCAUGCUUCCGCGGCUGUAGUCGCCUGCUCUCCAGACCUUGGAGCACCGCGGACGUGCUACAACCAUGUUGGGGAUGAGGCGGAGUAUGUCGCGGCGGCGGCGACGAGCACCGCGAACGCGCUACCUCCUCCGCUUCGGCCCCUCCACACCAUCUGCCGCCUCCGCCGACCUUAGUGGGCAUGCCCUGGUCGAGCCCCCCCAAAGUCGGAUGACGGCGCUGAGGAGAUCACGUAACCCCAGGGCAGGGCGUAGCGACCGGCGAGGAGCGCCUCAAGGGCGUGGCCCCCGAUUCGUGGGUCGACAGCGUGGAGGCAAUCGUGUGUGGACAGGAUAUGGCGGUGUUGCGGCAAGCGAGGAGCGCCACUGCCGUUCGCACAAGAUCCGCCGUCUCAUCUCUGCGAUUUGACCGCCGUCGGCGGUCUGCGAUCCACUGUUCACAUCCGAACUUGCCAGAGCCGCGGUGCCCCAUGAACCACCCGCCUCAACCAUUUUGUUUCCCUUUGAUGGUAGUGACGACGACGGCCAAGAUGUGGUAGUUCUCUGCAUGCAGUGUGGUGGCAUGGUAGAGAGGGGAAGCAGAUGGAAAACUGGCAGCGGCUCUAUCUGCAGGUGGCAUGAUGGAGAGGCUAGGGAGCAACAAAUGUUGUAUUGGUCACUUUUUCUGUCAUCUCUGUUUGCACUAAUAUGUAACUUUCGCCUGAUCAGGGGAUACCGCAAAGAACACGAGCAAAACAUUGAUAGGAGGUGAUGAGGACUAUGACCGAAGGCAUGUAUAAUACCUACAAUGAACUGUCAAGGCAUGUCUAAUCUAAACUGAAAUAUAUGUAAGACACAGAAAGCAAGCAAACAGCCGUCAAGGCAACGAGCAUGCCAUGUGGUGCGUGGAGCUAUGCCUUGUGCGUCCUGGACAAAAUCGACAGUAUGCUAAUAUCACUACAACCCAAGCCUAAUCCGUCUAUCUGAAUUCAGAUAUACGAAAGGCACAAGAAGUAAGUAAACAACUGUAAGGCAUGUUCGUGGAGGCCAUGUGGAGGGAUGGCUUGUGCAGCUGGGAGCGAAUUGAUGCGCGGGAAAAAGUUUCCUUUACCCAACUGGUGCAGCAAAAUCUCUAUGAUACGACCAGUUUCGUCUAUAGUCAGACCAACGACGACGACGUACAAGCUGCCAACCAGAAUCAAGCUUCUGCGACUUUGCUAGUCACUGUUGGGGAUGUAUUUGUACCAUCAUAUUUACGAUCGAGUUUUGGCAAUGAACUAGUUGCCAUUGCAUGUAUGCAUGCGCAUACGCCAAGAAAGAUUGGUCUUGUUCAGCUAGGAAAAGGAAAAGAAGUACAUCUGGAACCUCUACAUGCACGUGAUUUCCUUGGUAAUUUUGGUUGGCAUGAAGCCAAAAGAUUACGACUUCGGGACUCUAAUUUCCAUGGAGAAUCUCUAUUCCUAAUGGAGCAGUUGGAUCUUCAUCCGUCAUCCUGAGCAAUUGGGGCGGCGAUGCGGGCGAGCUUCACGAUAGUGGGGAGGACCAGGCCGCGGUGAAGGCAGGUCAUGCGCUCCUCACGCUCCACGAACGGAACCUGCGCACGGAGGCGGUAGCGCGGGGUGGCAGCCGGCAAUGAGGCGGCCGCGCUACGUGACGAGCUACGGGUCCCCCUUUGUGAUGUUUUGGCAUCGCUCCUUCAUCGCACAUCCUCAGGUUCCUCUUGCCCUUCCCUUCCUCUGUCCUCCUCUCCCAUCUCUAUGCUUUCACGUGCAUCCAGUUUUGAUUCCUCGUGUGAUAUAUACCAAACAUAGGUACGUCAAUUCACUUCCUUCCCUUCCCUUCGUCCCUCGGUCCCACGCUCGUGGCGCUGAAGUGGUGGCAACAGGCGAUGGCGGUGGUGUCGCUGAUGGCGGCGAGGACAGCAUGUGGCAGCUCCCGAAGCAUGAACACGACCGCACCUCGGGCCUGCCGUCUGCCAAGAUAUGGCUCUGGCCGAUUGACAAUGGAGGUUUGGGAUCCUUCCUCUCAGCACCCACUCCUGGAAGAAUCAGCGGUGCGCCACGCCGAUUGAACCCCGUCGAGAUCACUCGCCAAGAUUGCUAUUCUGAAGUUUAUUGUAAAGAAAGUGAAGAGUGAGACAGGAUCCGUUUAUUUUCAACCGGUUUAUUUUCAACCGGUUUAUUUCCAUCAAAUUACCCCCACCCCCACGCCCACCCACCGAAACGCGCCCAGCGAACCGGGGAGAGAUCCAUUGAGGGAGAGAUCCAUUGUACAAGUCAGUAAUAAUCUAAGGGGGUGCCCUACCGGAGAAGAUUAUGAUAGUUGGACAAGAAACUUGGUACUGUCGUGUAAGGUAAAGGUAGGAGAAAUAGGAGAUAAAAGCAUGCAUGGUGGGAGAAGGAAGUCGAAUGUCGCGUGGUAGCUCAGACAUGGAGUGUGGAAGAAAGACAAUGACGAGAUGUAUGUAUCUACUAGAUCAUGACCAUGAGAUAUCAUCCCAUAGAAAUGACCUUUGACUCUCAUGUCACAUGAAUUUU